CCGCACGUACGACCGAGGUCUCUUGCCCUCGAGCGACAAACAGUCGCCCGACUCUGUGCCCUCGUUCGCCGCCGCCGCCCUUCGUCCAUUCACCGCCGCCGCUCCAUCACUUCGCCGCCGGCCGAUGGAUUCGCCGGGUCGUCGCUCCUCAGGGCCAGCCCCUCCCGCCGCGCUGGAUCACGUGGCGGCCUAGGGAACCCUAACCAGCCCCCGAUCUUCGCAUCUCUCCCUGAAUCCCUCCUCCUCCACGAGCCGCGCGGUGUGCUUCCCUCCUCCCACACGAUGCUCCUCUCCCUCCCCAAAUCGACAUGGAUCUCGCGCUGCUGGAUCCCCUCCUCUCCCUCCCUGACUUGCCGUGAAUCUUGUGCUGCGAGAGCUGCUCUAUCCCUUCCCUGGCCGCCAUAGAUCUCGCCAGCCACCAUCGGAGGAAGCCCCACAUACCCAAGUUUGAUGGGCUUGCCAGCGAUGUUGAGGUCCUUGCCAUGGCUCCGAGCCUGGAGAGUAGCGCUGUCCCAGAUUGAGGUGGACUCCGGUUACAAGGAAGAGCUCCGGAGGGAGAUGACGCUGUUCAAGACGCUGGCCAUCACUUUCUCGAGGAUGAUGAUCUUCACUGGGAUCACGUCUUUGUACUGUAGCAUCCUCCAGUUAGGAAGGCCGGCCGGCCAGCCUCGUGCGGGGCUGGGUCAUCAUCUCCUUCUUCACCUGGUUAAUGGGUGUCGUCAUGUUGGGGAUUUCUCCUUGCCUUUGUCUGAACCUCUAACUACUGAAGCUGAAAAUGAAGUUCACGAUUGUUUGUAUGGUAACGGUUCAGGUAGCAAAAGUCCUGGUGCUACAUGAAACGUCUAACACUCAGGUUAGCAGAAAAAAAACAGUGUUUGAGACCACAUGGCAGGUUAAAUGACGAGCUAAAUAUUCAUCUUACAUGUACUAAACCAUCCUUAUUGAUUGCAAACAUGUAAACUUUGCACUGAUGUUUUUAUACGUAAUGGGGAAAGUGGGAUCCCUUGUCUUCAGGUCAUUAAUUUGUACCUUGAAUUGUUAAAGGAGAUGGGAAUAAAAAACCCAAAAGGUUCUCUAAAUGCAGCUUCUUCAAUACAUUUAUAUUGACAGUUGAUAGAUGGAUCCAGUAGGCCUUGGUAGUGCUAAGCGUGUUUGAUUCCACUAUUGCUAAGCGUGUUUGAAACCACUAUUGCUUGAGUUGUUCUUCCGGUCUCUCAUUGGUACGUGGGGCGUACCCCACGUAACAUUAUGUUUCUCUGAUAAAUUUGAUAAAUUUGCUGAUGUGAAGGUCGGACAAUUCCGAGAAUCAGACCUGCCAAUAUGACAAGUUAAAUGUAAGAAAUGAGAAUAAGGAAGUAGUUUUCUUCGAUGAGGAAGAUACAAAACCGCUGAAUCCGUUGAUGUCAAGGUGGCUAAUAAACGGUAAAUUGGUAACACGAUAAGUGAUAAUAAUUUUGCCUACUAACACGAGAGCAAAAGGUACUAUUCAUGAUAUUUGUGUGCUUGUGUUUAAUUAGAUCAAUUCUUUGGCCACCGAGAAGAUGCUAUCCAGGGUGUUUGAUCCAUCUCCCGUCAGACUUAUUUUUGUUGAUCUUGUGCUUGACACCAAUUAUUUCUUCUUCUCAAAAAAAAGGAGGAAGAGGAGACCCCUGGUGGCGCGGACAUCCAACGACUCGGACAUCGUCCUCCCGUGACGUCCUCCUCCAAGCCCGAAUCCAGUGCCUCCUCAAGAAAUGGAGAAGCGCCAUGGUUGGCUGUUGCUUGAGGAAAUGAGGAGAUGCAUAUGUCAGCAAUGUUGCUGGAGCAAGGAACACUUCCAUAUUCUAUAAGGCCGAUGCCAAGGAAGGUGAGGGUCCUGUGGCUGGCUGCUGCUAGGAAUAGCAGGCAGUAGGGAAGUUUCUUUCUGAUUUGAAGUGUGCAGAUUAGGACAGGUCGCUUUUUGUGAGCAACCAUCUGAAUGCUAAAAUGUCAUAAAUGGCUGUGAACAGAUCGGAUAUGAUUCAUACAUCAGGUGAAAUAGUUGUGACCUCAUGUUGCAGUAUCUACCAAAGAAUAUAUGUGAAAUCCAAGGAAUCAUUUCUGACUUCUGAGCGAUUUGUGGUACGGCUCAAGAUAUGUGGUUUUGGAUUAGGGUAGGACUCAAGAUAUGUGACUUCCAAGGGAACUGUAAACUCAAGAUAUGUGGUCUUGGACUAGCAAGAUUUGCAUCCAGUGACACCCCUACAACAGUUUUCUGGAUGGACCAUGUCACCACCUGAUGGUACAGAGCUCAUGAACUCUGUAAUGUUCUAUCAUUACCAAGGAGUAUUCACAACUUAUGCCCUUGUCUCACGAAUUUUCUGAUAUGCACUGUUGUUAAGAAUUUCCGGAGGCUAACUUAGAGGAAGAUAGAGGAAAGAGCAGGGCAGUUGAGGGGAAGUACAUUUCUCACUGGAGACACUUUUUUCAGAUUACUAGACAUAUAGGAGGAAUUAUGAAACUAAAAUGGGAUGUUACUGUUGGCAUUUGAUGACAAAGUGAGGCCAAUAUAGAAAAAAAACUAAGCUUUUGGGACUAACCACGGAAUAUUAGUACUAUAUGCUGAUAUUGACAAGCCGCACUAUCUUCUCCGGUGGCAUGGGCAACGUGUAUUAUGUCGAAGUGUGUGCGAUUAUUGAUUUUAUGUCUUUAUUUUUACUAAUAUAUAUUUAUACAAGGACGACAAUCAACAAAAUGUGUAUUUCUCAUUCAACCAGUGUCCUCGCAUGUAAAGACAAGUAAUGCUUCGAGUACAUGAGAAAGAAAACAGUACUUAAGAAUUUUCCUA